GCCGGGUGCGGCUUGUGCUUGUAGUCCCAGCUCCUCAGGAGGCUGAGGCUGGAGGAUUGCUUGAGCCUGGGAGUUCUGGGCUGUAGUGUGCUAUGCCGCACUAAGUUCGGCAUCAAUAUGGUGACCUCCUGGGAGCAGGGGACCCCAGUUUGCCUAAGGAGGGGUGAACCGGCCCAGGUCGGAUAUGGAGCAGGUCAAAAUUCGCGUGCUGAUCGGUAGUGGGAUCACACCUAUGAGUAGUAGCCACUGCACUGCAGCAUGGGCACAUAGCGAGACCCGGUCUCUU
ensembl:misc_RNA Metazoa_SRP Metazoan signal recognition particle RNA